UGCAAGUCGAACGAAGUAGCAAUACUUAGUGGCAGACGGGUGAGUAACAUGUAGGUAUCUACCCUAUGGCCUGGAAUAACACGAGGAAACUUGUGCUAAUACCGGAUAAGUCUUUACAGAGAAAGCUUUAUGCACCAUUGGAUGAGCCUGCACUUGAUUAGUUUGUUGGUGGGGUAAUGGCCUACCAAGACUGUGAUCAAUAGCUGAUUUGAGAGGAUGAUCAGCCACAUUGGGACUGAGACACGGCCCAAACUCCUACGGGAGGCAGCAGUGGGGAAUCUUGCACAAUGGAGGAAACUCUGAUGCAGCGAUGCCGCGUGAGUGAAGAAGGCCUUUGGGUUGUAAAGCUCUUUCGUCGGGGAAGAAAAUGACUGUACCCGAAUAAGAAGGUCCGGCUAACUUCGUGCCAGCAGCCGCGGUAAUACGAAGGGACCUAGCGUAGUUCGGAAUUACUGGGCUUAAAGAGUUCGUAGGUUGUUGAAAAAGUUGGUGGUGAAAUCCCAGAGCUUAACUCUGGAACUGCCAUCAAAACUUUUCAGCUAGAGUAUGAUAGAGGAAAGCAGAAUUUCUAGUGUAGAGGUGAAAUUCGUAGAUAUUAGAAAGAAUACCAAUUGCGAAGGCAGCUUUCUGGAUCAUUACUGACACUGAGGAACGAAAGCAUGGGUAGCGAAGAGGAUUAGAUACCCUCGUAGUCCAUGCCGUAAACGAUGUGUGUUAGACGUUGGAAAUUUAUCUUCAGUGUCGCAAUGAAAACGAUAAACACACCG
rnacentral:rRNA from 1 species